UCUCGGUACUUCCUCCAUCACACUAUAAUAAAGAGCAAAACCCUCCCAAAACUCUCUUGCAUCAGGCUCAGUACUUCUCUCUCCACUUUGCAAUUGGAGUAGCAAAGCUACAGUACCUCGUUUCUUCUCAUGAGGUACUGUUCAUAAGUUAUCCUUUUAUUUUAUUAAUUACCUGCUCGGAGCAGGCUGCUCCGCUCGUGCUCGAAGGCUCUGCUUUGUCGCAGAUCUACUCUACUGCCUCCUGGCGCUCGAUCAAUCCAGCCGCCGUCGCCGGCGGUUAGGGUUUGUUGGGGGUGGGUUCUUCUGCGUCUUUGUGCUCUAGAUCGGCCAUUUGAAGGGUGGGAGGAAAUUACUAGAGAGAGAGUGAGAAGUGCGGCUGUUGUGGUGGCGAUGGCGUCGAGGUGGUUUGUAGUCUGGGGUUUGGUAGGAUUGGUGCGGGAGUAAAGAGGCUGGUGUGGGGAGAGUUUAAGAGCAUCCGCACAAGAUUCAGCAAAUUUUGGACCAAAUUAAUCCUCAAAAUCUACUUUUAUUAUUUUAGCUAUUCAUUUUUAAAAUCCCUACUGCAUCAGACUCUCUAUAUUAAAAUUAUCUCAAUAAAAAUAUUACUCCUUUAUUCUAAAAAAAAGAAGAAAACAACGGCAAAACCAGAAUUUUUUUGAAACCGGCGAAACCAAAACUUUACUCUUUCUUCGGUUCUUCCCAACCCAAAAAACCAGCAAAACAAAACCCCCCAAACCACCUCUCUCUCUCUCUCUCUCUCUCUCUCUUUCUCUGUACUCUCUUUCCAACCCAAGAAACCAGCUGCAAACAAAAUCCCAAACGACCGAACCCCCUCUCUCCAGCAAAAUCACCCCUCCGAUCAACCCAAAAAAAAAACAGCAAAUGAAACCCCAAACCACCGACCUCACUCUCUCUCUCUCUCUCUCUCUCUCUCUCUCUCUCUCUCUCUCAUACCAGCAAAAUCAUUCCCUCCGAUCAACCCCAAAAAACCAGCAAACAAUCCCCAAACCACUUUACCAGAGAUGGAUUUAUUGUGAGAGCUGAUGAGGGAGAGAGAAUGACUCUCACUUGUGGCUAUAUGUUCCAUUUUGGCGCCAGUUGAAAGUGCAGAUGGGCAGGAGAAAGGAAACGAGUGAACAGUUCCUCGUGUGUUUCAACGAGUAACUGUAGCUCGAGCUACUUCUCAGGUUAAUCCCACGAGGCUGAUAAAGCUGAGUUUUGGGGGUUUUUUGGGGUCUGGCUUUUUAGUUUAGAGUAGAGAGGGGAAGUAACGAGACAAAUGCGGAUGCUCUAAGAAGGCACUGGCUACAAUAAAAAAAGUGCACAUUUCUCGUAACCCAGAAAAUAAAGAGUUUGGUGUGGAUCUUCACUUUUUCAAAGUCAAUGCCCAAAGCCACCCAAGGUCCCACCCCCACGCUCCUCCUCUCCGGCAUGUCCGGCCACUGAUCCGGCACGGUCGACACUCGACACGCAAGCCAUCGCGAUCUGAAGGAGCCGAACCAUCUCCUCGUCGAUGUUGUGGUACCUCAUCAACUCGACAUCGAAGACCUCGGCCGUCGAUUACUCCCGCACCACCGACUGGACCCACUUGGCAAAUCGUGACAGAAUUAGAGUUCUCAAGAACAGCCUCAACUUGUUUAAAAAGUAUCUUCAUGCAGAUUGUAACAAAGGCCAGAUCUUUGCAGGUAAUGCCCUUUCACAGUUUCAUCCUUUGUCCAUGAACCUGCACCCUCUGUAUCUGGAUCACAUGAAUGCUGCUGUACACGUCCCAGUCUACAUAUUUUUCUCUAGUUCAUAUUUUGUUCGAUCUGUUUCAUGUUUUAUAUAGUCUUAUUUCGUUAAGUUUUAUGUUAGUUGGGAAUUCUAGAAGUUUAAUAGAAAAAAAGAAUAAAAUGAACAAAUAAAUAGGUUUUUUUAUACUUUUUGUUAAAGUAUUAAAUGUGGAGCAUAAAUUGACAAGUUGUAUUGUAAGUCUUGGAAGAUCAAGGGAAAACUUCAUAUGCAACACUCUCUUCUAGUGAUGACGUAUGCCUGAAGAUGCAAGCAUUGCAAAACAUAUACGAGUAUCUCCUUGAUGCGGAAAGUUAAAUGGGACUCAAUAAAACUAGUAACAAUGUGACUGAGAUUAUCCCAUAGAUGCUGGCCGCAGUGUUCCUGUUGCUGCAGAUGCAGGUGAUACCAACAUCUGCAGCGGUGUAAUACGAUUGUAUUUGGGUAACAUAUUGGGAAGAUGUUUAGAUGUGAAUGAGCAAGUUCGCCGAUCUGCUCACAAACCGAGAAACUUUGCCAUUUCAUGUGUUCCUGGCCAAAAAACAUGAAUAAAAUGAAUACAAAAACCAUUCGGCCCGGAAGACCUUAUAGUAUCCACUUUCUGGAAGUGUUUUUGGUAAUCGAUGCACAUUGUGGAAGUUGUACAGCGUCAAGGUCUAGUUCAUCCUAUUACCUGCAUCUUGAAACAGAUCCUCGGGAGGGAAACUCAAAGCUGGCUCAUCAUCUGUGAUGAACAUGGGUGAAAAGUAUCCAGAAUUUUUUGAAAGCCGAGAUGGCCUUCAGAUGCCGUAUAUUUUCAUUAAAUCCAUGGCUGGAAGUUCUGAGUAUUCUGACAACCCAAACCCAAAAGUCCAACUCAAGGCACCUGAUAGUAUGAAAGGGGCGUUCGGUAGCAUCUCUUUUAAUUAUGCAAGGCUUGGUAUUUCUUGAAUCUACAAGGUGAUCCAUGGCAAUCGAGUCUCAAGG